CAGUGCAAAUUACAAACGGAAUUCUCGCUUUUGAUUGGAUAAUAAACAAUAGAAAAUGAUUUUAGCCAAUAAGAUGAUAGAUUUUUAUGACGAAAAAUUUGAGGAAAAUUUGAAGCAAGCGAGGGGGAAAAUGGCAGCCAUUUUAUCUUAGGUGAAAGUAAGCAAAGAUUUUACAGAUUUUUCUAUCAAAAAACUAAAAAAAAAAACCAGUUUAAAAAAGAAAACACAAGUAAAAGUUCAUCGUUAUUGCUGAAUAUAUGGAAGAAAAAGUGAGAAGAAAACAAUGAAUUGAGGGAAAUGAGCCAGCCGAUCUAGAUAAAGAAAAUACUCGAGCGAUUCUUUGCCGAAGUAAAGCAAAAACUAAAACAGAAAUGAAAAAGACUAUGAGCAAGACCAUUAAACACGAUGUGUUUUUAACAGUGUUCUCCGGUUCUCGUUCUAAUGACAAGUCAUAAUUCUCAACAAGGGUUUUGACUUCCGCUGUCUUCAUCAGUAACUUAGCAACGCCAGGAUGUCGAGGGUAGCUAUAGCCCUCAGCGGCAACCCGGUAACUGUACAAAACGUCUUGGAGCUCCGUUGACACGUCUGCGCAUGCGUGGUUGGAACCGACUUCAUCCUCCGAGUAAACACUUUGGAUGUAGUUCAUUUGACCCAAGACAUCACCCAGGAAAUGAAGAGAGUUGGUGUUGUUUUUGCACGCCAGUCGGUGUCUGUAGUAAAGAGCAUAAUCAUCUGAUGAUGACGUCAGGAUGAUUAGAUGACGUAACAUACUGGAGAAGAAAAUGAGGCUUUAGAAGUAAGUAAUAGAAAUAUAGUACAAUAGAAACAGAUAAACAAACCAAGUGAAUAAUAUGUUCAAAAACCAGUACAUUUAUAUGGAAUCCGAGAACGAUGUCCGAAAUUUUUGGUGACCGUAACACAAUCAAAUACAAUUUAUACCACGUGAUAACUAGCGCGAAAAGGUGAGUUAUAUAUAAUCAGUAUAACUUAUUUGUAAAGGUUAUUGUAGUGUACCUUUUACUUUUGUGUUUCAAUUUUUUCCAAGUGUGUUGUAAUCUGUAGACAGGAGGGGAUCGUAGUGACGUCACAAGGGCCUUGGUGGCGUUGUAGUUGUGUAUCUCUGCACAGCGGUCAGCCAUCUGAGAAAAACAAAACAAAAAAUAAAUCAUUUACCAUAUCGUUU